AAGUUGUGAAAUAAAAGACUUACCUUGUGGGAUGAUCCUCAAGGCAAAAUUGAGCGAACCAAGCAGAGACUGUAAUUCUUUGCGGUUGCAAGAACCCAAUAACAAGUAUAAGUCCAUACUUGACAAGAUGUGCUCAAUCUUGUUAUGAGGAAGACAGGACUGCAUAGCAACAGAAUCUAAUUGAAUAUCCAGGAUAUGUAUAACCGUG